UGGGUGCUAAGCCACCGCGCAGCGUGGAAGGAGGGACGCUUUUCCUGAGGCUGAGCCCACCUGUCCCAGGAAGGCCCCUCCCAUCCUCUCCAGCGUCAGGUCCAGCCUGCUCAGGUGCCAGGACAGAGGUGAGGGCACCGAGAGCCCCUUCACACCCACGCCCCUGGGAUGAGCAGCCACCAUGGCCAGGGGUCACCGACCUGAGGGACAGCGACCCCAUUUGUAGUCACCCUCCAGGACCAGACACGAACAACGAACACCGUCAUCACAAAGGCCACCAUGGCCCCGUCCCUGCCCAGCAAACUGCAGCGUUCAGCGCCGCUGACCGACAGACGAGAAAGCCGUUCCGUUUUCCACGUGCAAGGACAUGGAGUCCCAGCCUGGCUGACCCUCGGGUCUCUGGCCCUCGCCGCCUCGUGCCGAGCUCUCUCCUCGUGGGAGAGAUGCCCUCGGAGCCCGACUUAGCCCAUCGCUGUGCUGGGGCCGCCUGUGUCCCCUCGGCCACCGUCUGCUCGUUGGAGGCAACACUGGCCUCUCCCCGCAUCAUGCUCUGACACGUGUGUGUCCACCGCACGACUCCUCGCCGAGCUCCGCCGGAGCAAAGCACCACGAACUCUGUGGCUGGAAACCCCAGGAACGCAGCCCCCGGCGUUGAGGGGGCCGGAACCUGGGGAAGAGCCCGCGGCUGACGCUGGUGCCAGCCCCGGCCGCCAUGCCUGAAGCCUGCAGACCGGCAUCGCGCGCUGGCGUCAAGACCCUGCACCCUUGGGAGCCGCAUCGACGCAGGGGAGAGACGGACGCAGCAAAGUCCGUGCGAGGGGGGACGUUUAUCCAGCCGCCGGAGGAACGAAGCACUGAGCCACAUGACAACGUGGAUGUGCCUUGUCGGGACCGGCCACCACGCGACAGGAGCCGGGCGCAGAAGGCCGCCACUACGAGCACCCCGAGCGAGUGAGCCCACGGACACGGACUGGGCUGCUGC